CUCAAAGGAAUUGACGGGGGCCCGCACAAGCGGUGGAGCAUGUGGUUCAAUUCGAAGCAACGCGCAGAACCUUACCAGCCCUUGACAUCCCGGUCGCGGAGAGCAGAGACGCACUCCUUCAGUUCGGCUGGACCGGAGACAGGUGCUGCAUGGCUGUCGUCAGCUCGUGUCGUGAGAUGUUGGGUUAAGUCCCGCAACGAGCGCAACCCUCGCCCUUAGUUGCCAUCAUUCAGUUGGGCACUCUAAGGGGACUGCCGGUGAUAAGCCGGAGGAAGGUGGGGAUGACGUCAAGUCCUCAUGGCCCUUACGGGCUGGGCUACACACGUGCUACAAUGGCGGUGACAGAGGGAUGCAAAGGGGCGACCCUUCGCAAAUCUCAAAAAGCCGUCUCAGUUCGGAUUGGGGUCUGCAACUCGACCCCAUGAAGUUGGAAUCGCUAGUAAUCGCAGAUCAGCACGCUGCGGUGAAUACGUUCCCGGGCCUUGUACUCACCGCCCGUC
rnacentral:rRNA from 1 species